rnacentral:rRNA from 4 species
AAUCCAUAGGUUAAUGAGGCGAACCGGGGGAACUGAAACAUCUAAGUACCCCGAGGAAAAGAAAUCAACCGAGAUUCCCCCAGUAGCGGCGAGCGAACGGGGAGGAGCCCAGAGCCUGAAUCAGCAUGUGUGUUAGUGGAAGCGUCUGGAAAGGCGCGCGAUACAGGGUGACAGCCCCGUACACAAAAGCGCAUGUGCUGUGAGCUCGAUGAGUAGGGCGGGACACGUGGUAUCCUGUCUGAAUAUGGGGGGACCAUCCUCCAAGGCUAAAUACUCCUGACUGACCGAUAGUGAACCAGUACCGUGAGGGAAAGGCGAAAAGAACCCCGGCGAGGGGAGUGAAAAAGAACCUGAAACCGUGUACGUACAAGCAGUGGGAGCACCCUUUGGGUGUGACUGCGUACCUUUUGUAUAAUGGGUCAGCGACUUAUAUUCUGUAGCAAGGUUAACCGAAUAGGGGAGCCGGAGGGAAACCGAGUCUUAACCGGGCGUUAAGUUGCAGGGUAUAGACCCGAAACCCGGUGAUCUAGCCAUGGGCAGGUUGAAGGUUGGGUAACACUAACUGGAGGACCGAACCGACUAAUGUUGAAAAAUUAGCGGAUGACCUGUGGCUGGGGGUGAAAGGCCAAUCAAACCGGGAGAUAGCUGGUUCUCCCCGAAAGCUAUUUAGGUAGCGCCUCGUGAAUUCAUCUCCGGGGGUAGAGCACUGUUUCGGCUAGGGGGCCAUCCCGGCUUACCAACCCGAUGCAAACUGCGAAUACCGGAGAAUGUUAUCACGGGAGACACACGGCGGGUGCUAACGUCCGUCGUGAAGAGGGAAACAACCCAGACCGCCAGCUAAGGUCCCAAAGUCAUGGUUAAGUGGGAAACGAUGUGGGAAGGCCCAGACAGCCAGGAUGUUGGCUUAGAAGCAGCCAUCAUUUAAAGAAAGCGUAAUAGCUCACUGGUCGAGUCGGCCUGCGCGGAAGAUGUAACGGGGCUAAACCAUGCACCGAAGCUGCGGCAGCGACACUGUGUGUUGUUGGGUAGGGGAGCGUUCUGUAAGCCUGCGAAGGUGGCCUGUGAGGGUUGCUGGAGGUAUCAGAAGUGCGAAUGCUGACAUAAGUAACGAUAAAGCGGGUGAAAAGCCCGCUCGCCGGAAGACCAAGGGUUCCUGUCCAACGUUAAUCGGGGCAGGGUGAGUCGACCCCUAAGGCGAGGCCGAAAGGCGUAGUCGAUGGGAAACGGGUUAAUAUUCCCGUACUUGGUGUUACUGCGAAGGGGGGACGGAGAAGGCUAUGUUGGCCGGGCGACGGUUGUCCCGGUUUAAGCGUGUAGGUGUGUGUUCCAGGUAAAUCCGGUUCACUUUAACACUGAGGCGUGACGACGAGGCACUACGGUGCUGAAGCAACAAAUGCCCUGCUUCCAGGAAAAGCCUCUAAGCAUCAGGUAACAUCAAAUCGUACCCCAAACCGACACAGGUGGUCAGGUAGAGAAUACCAAGGCGCUUGAGAGAACUCGGGUGAAGGAACUAGGCAAAAUGGUGCCGUAACUUCGGGAGAAGGCACGCUGACACGUAGGUGAAGUGAUUUACUCAUGGAGCUGAAGUCAGUCGAAGAUACCAGCUGGCUGCAACUGUUUAUUAAAAACACAGCACUGUGCAAACACGAAAGUGGACGUAUACGGUGUGACGCCUGCCCGGUGCCGGAAGGUUAAUUGAUGGGGUCAGCGCAAGCGAAGCUCCUGAUCGAAGCCCCGGUAAACGGCGGCCGUAACUAUAACGGUCCUAAGGUAGCGAAAUUCCUUGUCGGGUAAGUUCCGACCUGCACGAAUGGCGUAAUGAUGGCCAGGCUGUCUCCACCCGAGACUCAGUGAAAUUGAACUCGCUGUGAAGAUGCAGUGUACCCGCGGCAAGACGGAAAGACCCCGUGAACCUUUACUAUAGCUUGACACUGAACAUUGAGCCUUGAUGUGUAGGAUAGGUGGGAGGCUUUGAAGUGUGGACGCCAGUCUGCAUGGAGCCGACCUUGAAAUACCACCCUUUAAUGUUUGAUGUUCUAACGUGGACCCGUUACCCGGGUUGCGGACAGUGUCUGGUGGGUAGUUUGACUGGGGCGGUCUCCUCCUAAAGAGUAACGGAGGAGCACGAAGGUUGGCUAAUCCUGGUCGGACAUCAGGAGGUUAGUGCAAUGGCAUAAGCCAGCUUGACUGCGAGCGUGACGGCGCGAGCAGGUGCGAAAGCAGGUCAUAGUGAUCCGGUGGUUCUGAAUGGAAGGGCCAUCGCUCAACGGAUAAAAGGUACUCCGGGGAUAACAGGCUGAUACCGCCCAAGAGUUCAUAUCGACGGCGGUGUUUGGCACCUCGAUGUCGGCUCAUCACAUCCUGGGGCUGAAGUAGGUCCCAAGGGUAUGGCUGUUCGCCAUUUAAAGUGGUACGCGAGCUGGGUUUAGAACGUCGUGAGACAGUUCGGUCCCUAUCUGCCGUGGGCGCUGGAGAACUGAGGGGGGCUGCUCCUAGUACGAGAGGACCGGAGUGGACGCAUCACUGGUGUUCGGGUUGUCAUGCCAAUGGCACUGCCCGGUAGCUAAAUGCGGAAGAGAUAAGUGCUGAAAGCAUCUAAGCACGAAACUUGCCCCGA